GGGGGUGUAAAGGUUUCGACGGGGAUCUUGAAGCCGGUCCAGCGAGCAGAGGCGCCCGGCCUCUAUAAAAUGGGCAAUUUUCAAAACAAACGACAACACUAAGCUGUCUUACGCUGCCUGAUUAAAGGCGGCCGUCUUUACCGGGAGGGCCACGGCCCGGAUAAAGGCGUCGAUCAGUGGCGUCCGUGCGUGCGGUAAGCUUUGCCCGCACCAUGCAUCAUGAAGCUACCAAGGGCUGAAGGCUGACGGCCGCCGUCAGUCCGAGGGAAUGUAAAUAACCGUCUGCGCUCGGAGAAGGACUUGUGGAUGGGUUUUCGGACAGGGGUUCGACUCCCCUCACCUCCACCA
rnacentral:tmRNA from 1 species